UUGAUUUGUCAAUUUCACAAUGUUGUUUCAACAAAUGCUAUAGAAAAUGCACUAUAUUCCAAGUCUUCUGAAUGUGAUAUGAGACUUUGUGCAAUUAUCAGUGAAAAACGUCCAAAUUUUGUCUGUUUGUCACACAGAGUUAUCAUAUGGCCUCAUAAGGCUUGGAAUAUAGCACAGUAUUUAAAUAAUAAUAAUAAUCUGUUCUCUGGACAGGUGAUUUUUAGAUAAAGCUUUCUCAUUAGACAAAUGCUGAUGCUACGAGAUCAUCUGAAUACUGUGCAACAUAUUUGUUUUUAAGGUAAAACGGGAGAUAAAGGCAUUACGGUCUUAAUAUUCACCCAUUAGGAAUAUCAGGAAAGUUUGCAAUAUUAUUGUCAAUGUCCUGUGAUUUGGGACACACUAAAUCUCGUCUGGCACACUGUUUAGAUUGUAUUUGAGUUGGGACGCAGUAUUGAUUUAAAAACAGCAGCAGCUUCACCCAUCUAAUGAGUGAGGUAAAGUUAAUCAUUACAGGAUGAGGACUUUGUUAAAGGGCAUUAAUUUAAGUUAAUAUCGCCUUGUGCCAAUUAAGGCAGUUUACCUUGCUGGCAGCUUGCGAAGGGAGAACAGGUGUGUGUAUUUGUACUGAUUACUACCAGAGACAAACAGCAGAGAGAGGCUUGUCCUUGUCGGGACGGAGGUGUUGGAUGAAACCGUUCCCUCCCUUUCUGCCGAAUGAGACGGCCAGGCCUACAGUGCUGGACACACACUCACUCACACUCCAACUGAAUUUGGCUGCAAGUACAUGUGCCUCUUCCCACCUACCAGGUCACUGGUAAUGUAACCCUCCCUCCCAAACACAUCCAUGAUGCUUCCGGGCCUCUCUGGGAGUUUCCAUAUGUUAUGAUGAUUUCAACACAAAAGCCCAGCUCUGAGACUCGGUAAAGAUAACAGCUUCUGACGGACUGACUUCCAAAACCGUGAACUGCUGUGCUGUCUACUAACUACUAGGGAUGGACAUUUUUAGUCAUUUCGUUUACAUGAGUACUUGGUAGAUGAGUACAUCCUGUAUGUAUCAUACAUGGCAUUGUUUCACAAGUCACUUUUUUGGAAGCAUUUUGUAUAUUUAUUAUUCUAUGUCCCAUUAAAACAUAAGGCAAGACUUGCUGCCAAACUCAAUAA